UAAAAGCAGACGACAAUAACUGAUCCUCCCC
rnacentral:piRNA from 1 species